rnacentral:rRNA from 1 species
UACGUAGGGUGCAAGCGUUAAUCGGAAUUACUGGGCGUAAAGCGUGCGCAGGCGGCUUUGCAAGACAGAUGUGAAAUCCCCGGGCUUAACCUGGGAACUGCAUUUGUGACUGCAUGGCUGGAGUGCGGCAGAGGGGGAUGGAAUUCCGCGUGUAGCAGUGAAAUGCGUAGAUAUGCGGAGGAACACCGAUGGCGAAGGCAAUCCCCUGGGCCUGCACUGACGCUCAUGCACGAAAGCGUGGGGAGCGAAACAGG